rnacentral:rRNA from 1 species
GCAAGGGGCGUGAUGCACAGGUGCUGCAUGGCUGUCGUCAGCUCGUGUCGUGAGAUGUUGGGUUAAGUCCCGCAACGAGCGCAACCCUGCCUUUAGUUGCCAGCAUGUUUGGUGGGCACUCUAAAGGAACUGCCGGUGACAAGCCGGAGGAAGGUGGGGAUGACGUCAAGUCCUCAUGGCCCUUAUGGGCUGGGCUACACACGUGCUACAAUGGCGAUGACAAUGGGAAGCCAUGUCGCGAGGCAGAGCCGAUCCCAAAAAGUCGUCUCAGUUCAGAUUGCAGCCUGCAACUCGGCUGCAUGAAGGUGGAAUCGCUAGUAAUCGCGCAUCAGCAUGGCGCGGUGAAUACGUUCCCGGGCCUUGUACACACCGCCCGUCACACCAUGGGAGUUGGUUCUACCCUAAGCCGGUUGGCUAACCGCAAGGAGGCCGCCGACCACGGUAGGGUCAGCGACUGGGGUGAAGUCGUAACAAGGUAGGCGUAGAUGA